UACGAAGGGGGCUAGCGUUGUUCGGAAUUACUGGGCGUAAAGCGUGCGCAGGCGGUUAUGCAAGACAGAUGUGAAAUCCCCGGGCUCAACCUGGGAACUGCAUUUGUGACUGCAUGGCUGGAGUGCGGCAGAGGGGGAUGGAAUUCCGCGUGUAGCAGUGAAAUGCGUAGAUAUGCGGAGGAAUACCGAUGGCGAAGGCAGGUCUCUGGGCUGACACUGACGCUCAUGCACGAAAGCGUGGGGAGCAAACAGG
rnacentral:rRNA from 1 species